GUUAUUGUCAGUCAGCAGAAGUGGUUUUCAACAUGAACAGUCAUUUAAUAUCACUUAUUAUUGCACUGUUGGGGAUCAAAGGGGCAUCACCAAAUCAAAAUGAAAAUGUUCAUCAGACUCCGAUUGAUCUCCUGAAGAACAUAACUGAAGGAGAAAAGCUGACCUGUAAACACAAAGUCAAGAGCUACGACACUAUUGUGUGGUAUCAUCGCCCAGCAGGAGACACCUCUCUGAAGCUAGUUGGUUUUACAAGUUAUAAAGAAAUUCAGACUGUGGAGAAACCCUAUGAGGGCUUAUUCAGCGUGAGUGGAAAUGGAGAGGUUGAAGCAUUCCUGCACUUGGGCAAACUGAGGCACCCUGAAAACAGCGGGCAUUAUUUCUGUGCAGUUUCUAGUCCCACCACAGCAGAAAAGCCUGAAAUUUCUCUACAAAAACCUUUAUCUGACCCUGAACACCUGCAGCAAACCACAUGCCCACAAACCUUUGCAGACAGUGGGAGGAGCUGAGCUGGAGAAGUUGACAGAAAUAUAGAGCAAAUUCUAGUCCUAUUCAAACAGUUGAGUUCAGCAGGGAUUCGAGCUGGUUUAUGACAUUCAACAUGAACUGGUCUCAUCUCAUCAUACACAUCAUCAUCUGCAUUAAAGGAGUGUCCCUCGAUAAAGAAAUAAAGGUUUUUCAAACUCCGGAGCAGCUCCUGAAGCCACCGAAUGAGGAAGUCAGGCUGACCUGCAAACAUAAAAACCAAAACUUUAACACUAUUUUGUGGUAUCAGCG